UUCUCCAGUAUAUGUCAGCUUUUUGAGGAUGUGGAUCACGGAGAGCUGCUCCCCAACCACGACGGAACCUUCCAGAUGAGUGUGGACCUGAACCUUUCAUCAGUCAAACCUGACAACUG